rnacentral:sRNA from 1 species
CUGACUCGGAGUCUUAGUGUGUCGUUAUUUGGACAAGAGGCAAAUUGACCGAAUUUGGAGAAGUAUUUUGGAAAGAGGUGUGAAAAAGACAGCAUGAACUUUACCCCAACACACACCCCUGUCUGCAGAAAGCGAACAGUUGUCUCCAAACGUGGUGUUGCCGUCAGUGGUCCCACCAAGAGGAGGGGAAUGGCAGAUUCACUGGAGUCAACCCCCUUGCCUUCCCUCGAAGAUCGUCUGGCCAAACUCUGUCCUUCUAAGGAGCUCCUGGAAUAUUUUCAAAGGAAGAUGGCUGAGUGUGAGGCAGAAAAUGAGGACUUGCUGAAGAAACUGGAACUCUACAAAGAAGCUUGUGAAGGACAGCAUAAACUUGAAUGUGAUUUGCAGCAGAGGGAGGAAGAGAUUGCUGAAUUGCAGAAAGCUCUAAGUGAUAUGCAGGUCUGCCUCUUCCAGGAACGGGAACAUGUUUUACGCCUCUACUCAGAAAAUGACCAACUGAGAAUCAGGUACCAAAUAGGAGAAGGGAAAUGUCAGAGUUUAACUUUACAUUCAUUCAUUCAUUCAUUCAUUCAUUCAUUCAUGUAGAGGCAGUAUCACUCUAUUGCCCAGGCUGGAGUAUAGUGGCACUAUCUUGGCUCACUGCAGCCUCCACCUCCUGGUUCAAGCGAUUCUCAUGCCUCAGCCUCUCGAGUAGCUGGGACCACAGGUGUGCACUACAAUGCCUAGCUCAUUUUUGUAUUUUUAGU